CUGGAAUGAUUCUUGGCUCAAACCUAUAUGGCCCCUGGAUUGGACUGCGGCCGAUCAGGCUGUUGGUGAGGUAAUGGCCCACCGAACCUAUUACCGGUACGGGCUCUGAGAGGAGGAGCCCGGAGAUGGGCACUGAGACAAGGGCCCAGGCCCUAUGGGGCGCAGCAGGCGCGAAACCUCUGCAAUAGGCGAAAGCUUGACAGGGUUACUCUGAGUGAUUUCCGCUAAGGGAAUCUUUUGGCACCUCUAAAAAUGGUGCAGAAUAAGGGGUGGGCAAGUCUGGUGUCAGCCGCCGCGGUAAUACCAGCACCCCGAGUGGUCGGGACGAUUAUUGGGCCUAAAGCAUCCGUAGCCGGUCCUGCAAGUCUUCCGUUAAAUCCAGCUGCUCAACAGAUGGGCUGCGGGAGAUACUACAGGGCUAGGAGGCGGGAGAGGCAAGCGGUACAUUAUGGGUAGGGGUAAAAUCCGCUGAUCCAUAGAAGACCACCAGUGGCGAAGGCGGCUUGCCAGAACGCGCUCGACGGUGAGGGAUGAAAGCUGGGGGAGCAAACCGGAUUAGAUACCCGGGUAGUCCCAGCUGUAAACGAUGCAGACUCGGUGAUGGGUUGGCCUCGCGCCUGCCCAGUGCCGCAGGGAAGCCGUUAAGUCUGCCGCCUGGGGAGUACGGUCGCAAGACUGAAACUUAAAGGAAUUGGCGGGGGAGCACCACAAGGGGUGAAGCCUGUGGUUCAAUUGGACUCAACGCCGGU
rnacentral:rRNA from 1 species